rnacentral:rRNA from 1 species
CACGUAGGGCGCAAGCGUUGUCCGGAAUUAUUGGGCGUAAAGAGCUCGUAGGCGGUCUGUUGCGUCCGCUGUGAAAAUUCGGGCUUAACCCCGAGCCUGCAGUGGAUACGGGCAGACUAGAGGUAGGUAGGGGAGAAUGGAAUUCCCGGUGUAGCGGUGAAAUGCGUAGAUAUCGGGAGAACACCUGUGGCGAAAGCGGCGCACUGGACCACAACUGACGCUGAGGCGCGAAAGCUAGGGGAGCAAACAGG